rnacentral:rRNA from 1 species
UACGGAGGGUGCAAGCGUUAUCCGGAUUCACUGGGUUUAAAGGGUGCGUAGGCGGCGCGGUAAGUCGGGUGUGAAAUCUCGGAGCUUAACUCCGAAACUGCAUUCGAUACUGCCGUGCUUGAGGACUGGAGAGGAGACUGGAAUUUACGGUGUAGCGGUGAAAUGCGUAGAUAUCGUAAGGAAGACCAGUGGCGAAGGCGGGUCUCUGGACAGUUCCUGACACUGAGGCACGAAGGCCAGGGGAGCAAACGGG